AGUAAGUCAGUGGUGAAAGCCCAUCGCUCAACGGUGGAACGGCCAUUGAUACUGCUAGACUUGAAUUAUUAGGAAGUAACUAGAAUAUGUAGUGUAGCGGUGAAAUGCUUAGAGAUUACAUGGAAUACCAAUUGCGAAGGCAGGUUACUACUAAUUGAUUGACGCUGAUGGACGAAAGCGUGGGCAGCGAACAGGAUUAGAUACCCUGGUAAUCCACGCCGUAAACGAUGGAUACUAGCUGUUGGGUGCAAACUCAGUGGCUAAGCGAAAGUGAUAAGUAUCCCACCUGGGGAGUACGUUCGCAAGAAUGAAACUCAAAGGAAUUGACGGGGGCCCGCACAAGCGGUGGAGCAUGUGGUUUAAUUCGAUGAUACGCGAGGAACCUUACCAAGGCUUAAAUGUAGAUUGACCGGUUUGGAAACAGACUUUUCGCAAGACAAUUUACAAGGUGCUGCAUGGUUGUCGUCAGCUCGUGCCGUGAGGUGUCAGGUUAAGUCCUAUAACGAGCGCAACCCCUGUUGUUAGUUGCCAGCGAGUCAAGUCGGGAACUCUAACAAGACUGCCAGUGUAAACUGUGAGGAAGGUGGGGAUGACGUCAAAUCAUCACGGCCCUUACAUCCUGGGCGACACGCACGCUACAAUGGCCGGGACAGCGGGUAGCCAAGCCGCAAGGCGGAGCGAAUCCCAGGAAACCCGGUCUCAGUUCGGAUCGUGGGCUGCAACCCGCCCACGUGAAG
rnacentral:rRNA from 1 species